rnacentral:rRNA from 1 species
UACGUAGGGUGCGAGCGUUAAUCGGAAUUACUGGGCGUAAAGCGUGCGCAGGCGGUUCGUUGUGUCCGAUGUGAAAGCCCCGAGCUUAACUUGGGAAUGGCAUUGGAAACUGGCGAGCUGGAGUGUGGCAGAGGGGGGUGGAAUUCCACGUGUAGCAGUGAAAUGCGUAGAGAUGAUGGAGGAACACCGAUGGCGAAGGCAGCCCCCUGGGCCAACACUGACGCUCAGGCACGAAAGCGUGGGAGCAAACAGG